CCCUUCAAUGCUAAUCUAAAGGAUGGAUUUCAACCCUUCAAUGCUAAUCUAAAGGAAGGAUUUCAACCCUUCAAUGCUAAUCUAAAGGAUGGAUUUCAACCCUUCAAUGCUAAUCUAAAGGAUGGAUUUCAACCCUUCAAUGCUAAUCUAAAGGAUGGAUUUCAACCCUUCAAUGCUAAUCUAAAGGAAGGAUUUCAACCCUUCAAUGCUAAUCUAAAGGAUGGAUUUCAACCCUUCAAUGCUAAUCUAAAGGAAGGAUUUCAACCCUUCAAUGCUAAUCUAAAGGAAGGAUUUCAACCCUUCAAUGCUAAUCUAAAGGAUGGAUUUCAACCCUUCAAUGCUAUUCUAAAAGAUGGAUUUCAACCCUUCAAUGCUAAUCUAAAGGAAGGAUUUCAACCCUUCAAUGCUAAUCUAAAGGAAGGAUUUCAACCCUUCAAUGCUAAUCUAAAGGAAGGAUUUCAACCCUUCAAUGCUAAUCUAAAGGAAGGAUUUCAACCCUUCAAUGCUAAUCUAAAGGGUGGAUUUCAACCCUUCAAUGCUAAUCUAAAGGGUGGAUUUCAACCCUUCAAUGCUAAUCUAAAGGGUGGAUUUCAACCCUUCAAUGCUAAUCUAAAGGGUGGAUUUCAACCCUUCAAUGCUAAUCUAAAGGGUGGAUUUCAACCCUUCAAUGCUAAUCUAAAGGGUGGAUUUCAACCCUUCAAUGCUAAUCUAAAGGAAGGAUUUCAACCCUUCAAUGCUAAUCUAAAGGAAGGAUUUCAACCCUUCAAUGCUAAUCUAAAGGGUGGAUUUCAACUCUUCAAUGCUAAUCUAAAGGGUGGAUUUCAACCCUUCAAUGCUAAUCUAAAGGAAGGAUUUCAACCCUUCAAUGCUAAUCUAAAGGGUGGAUUUCAACCCUUCAAUGCUAAUCUAAAGGAAGGAUUUCAACCCUUCAAUGCUAAUCUAAAGGAUGGAUUUCAACCCUUCAAUGCAAGUCUAAAGGAAGGAUUUCAACCCUUCAAUGCUAAUCUAAAGGAAGGAUUUCAACCCUUCAAUGCUAAUCUAAAGGAUGGAUUUCAACCCUUCAAUGCUAAUCUAAAGGGUGGAUUUCAACCCUUCAAUGCUAAUCUAAAGGAAGGAUUUCAACCCUUCAAUGCUAAUCUAAAGGAAGGAUUUCAACCCUUCAAUGCUAAUCUAAAGGAUGGAUUUCAACCCUUCAAUGCUAAUCUAAAGGAUGGAUUUCAACCCUUCAAUGCUAAUCUAAAGGAAGGAUUUCAACCCUUCCAAACAACAGACUUGUUUAUCCUCUUCAUCAUGUACAGACUGAAGGAGAGAUUAUCCUCUUCAUCAUGUACAGACUGA
rnacentral:lncRNA from 1 species